rnacentral:lncRNA from 1 species
UCGAUUAUUGCUCCUUUAUCUCUAUCAAUUUCUGUACCCUAGGGGUGUUCAAAGGAGCAUAGUUGGUGAAUCUUCUUAGUGGUGAUGUAUUCUGUCAAUCUCUAAGGGGAGUCCGUUGUCGUCGGUUCCAUGAUGGGGUUCUAGAUCCUUGAUUCUGAGGUGGAGUCUUGAAUCGUCAAUGAUGAGGUGAAGUCCAUGAUCAUCAAUCCUAAGGUAGAGUCCUUGAUCAUCGAGUAGUUAGAUGAUCCUCCUACCUUAGUGGACUCCACCUGUC